GGCUCCAAGCCUUAGGCUUAGCAUCCAUCCUUGAAGAUUUGAGUUGCGUGCAUCAUGUCUGAUGUAACAGAAAGACAAGUAAUGGACGGAGUCACCAGACUUCUGCAACUUUCUUAAGCUUGCACGCAGCCGAAAUUUCAAGGAUUCUCCAAUGAUCAGUUGCUCUCUCUUUGUGUUUUUGUUUUGUACGGCCACCUAAGAACAGCUUCCCUGUAGCCUUUGCUCUGUUCCACGAUUAAUA
rnacentral:misc_RNA from 1 species